UACGAAGGGGCUAGCGUUGCUCGGAAUCACUGGGCGUAAAGGGUGCGUAGGCGGGUCUUUAAGUCAGGGGUGAAAUCCUGGAGCUCAACUCCAGAACUGCCUUUGAUACUGAGGAUCUUGAGUUCGGGAGAGGUGAGUGGAACUGCGAGUGUAGAGGUGAAAUUCGUAGAUAUUCGCAAGAACACCAGUGGCGAAGGCGGCUCACUGGCCCGGUACUGACGCUGAGGUGCGAAAGCGUGGGGAGCAAACAGG
rnacentral:rRNA from 1 species